rnacentral:rRNA from 1 species
GACGAACGCUGGCGGCGUGCUUAACACAUGCAAGUCGAACGGAAAGGCCCUGCUUUUGUGGGGUGCUCGAGUGGCGAACGGGUGAGUAACACGUGAGUAACCUGCCCUUGACUUUGGGAUAACUUCAGGAAACUGGGGCUAAUACCGGAUAGGAGCUCCUGCUGCAUGGUGGGGGUUGGAAAGUUUCGGCGGUUGGGGAUGGACUCGCGGCUGAUCAGCUUGUUGGUGGGGUAGUGGCUUACCAAGGCUUUGACGGGUAGCCGGCCUGAGAGGGUGACCGGCCACAUUGGGACUGAGAUACGGCCCAGACUCCUACGGGAGGCAGCAGUGGGGAAUAUUGCACAAUGGGCGGAAGCCUGAUGCAGCAACGCCGCGUGCGGGAUGACGGCCUUCGGGUUGUAACCCGCUUUCGCCUGUGACGAAGCGUGAGUGACGGUAAUGGGUAAAGAAGCACCGGCUAACUACGUG